GGUGUCCUCCAUCUCCACACGCUCAAAGUUGGUUGGGUGAUCCAAUCGACGCCAAGCAAAGAGAAAGGCUGCGAUUCAAGUGUGGAGAUCAUGGAGAAAAAUCAAUCAUUGAUCAAGGAUCUAAAAGGCUGUGAUUCAUUUUAAAAAAGAUGAAUCUACAACGAGAAGAAAGAUCCAAGAUUGAUCCCAGUGGAUACCUGUAGAGGUCGGAUAAUUGUGCAGCU
rnacentral:lncRNA from 1 species